rnacentral:rRNA from 1 species
AUUGAACGCUGGCGGCAGGCCUAACACAUGCAAGUCGAGCGGAUGAAGGGAGCUUGCUCCUGGAUUCAGCGGCGGACGGGUGAGUAAUGCCUAGGAAUCUGCCUGGUAGUGGGGGAUAACGUCCGGAAACGGGCGCUAAUACCGCAUACGUCCUGAGGGAGAAAGUGGGGGAUCUUCGGACCUCACGCUAUCAGAUGAGCCUAGGUCGGAUUAGCUAGUUGGUGGGGUAAAGGCCUACCAAGGCGACGAUCCGUAACUGGUCUGAGAGGAUGAUCAGUCACACUGGAACUGAGACACGGUCCAGACUCCUACGGGAGGCAGCAGUGGGGAAUAUUGGACAAAGGGUGAAAGCCUGAUCCAGCCAUGCCGCGUGUGUGAAGAAGGUCUUCGGAUUGUAAAGCACUUUAAGCUGGGAGGAAGGGCAGUAAGUUAAUACCUUGCUGUUUUGACGUUACCAACAGAAUAAGCACCGGCUAACUUCGUG